CCUACGGGUGGCAGCAGUGGGGAAUAUUGGACAAUGGGCGAAAGCCUGAUCCAGCCAUGCCGCGUGUGUGAAGAAGGCCUUCGGGUUGUAAAGCACUUUCAGUGGGGAAGAAAGCCUUGGGUCUAAUACCCUCGAGGAAGGACAUCACCCACAGAAGAAGCACCGGCUAACUCCGUGCCAGCAGCCGCGGUAAUACGGAGGGUGCGAGCGUUAAUCGGAAUUACUGGGCGUAAAGCGCGCGUAGGCGGUCUGAUAAGCCGGUUGUGAAAGCCCCGGGCUCAACCUGGGAACGGCAUCCGGAACUGUCAGGCUAGAGUGCAGGAGAGGAAGGUAGAAUUCCCGGUGUAGCGGUGAAAUGCGUAGAGAUCGGGAGGAAUACCAGUGGCGAAGGCGGCCUUCUGGACUGACACUGACGCUGAGGUGCGAAAGCGUGGGUAGCAAACAGGACUAGAUACCCGUGUAGUC
rnacentral:rRNA from 1 species